rnacentral:rRNA from 1 species
GACGAACGCUGGCGGCGUGCUUAACACAUGCAAGUCGAACGGAAAGGCCCUGCUUUUGUGGGGUGCUCGAGUGGCGAACGGGUGAGUAACACGUGAGUAACCUGCCCUUGACUUUGGGAUAACUUCAGGAAACUGGGGCUAAUACCGGAUAGGAGCUCCUGCUGCAUGGUGGGGGUUGGAAAGUUUCGGCGGUUGGGGAUGGACUCGCGGCUUAUCAGCUUGUUGGUGGGGUAGUGGCUUACCAAGGCUUUGACGGGUAGCCGGCCUGAGAGGGUGACCGGCCACAUUGGAACUGAGAUACGGCCCAGACUCCUACGGGAGGCAGCAGUGGGGAAUAUUCCACAAUGGGCGGAAGCCUGAUGCAGCAACGCCGCGUGCGGGAUGACGGCCUUCGGGUUGUAAACCGCUUUCGCCUGUGACGAAGCGUGAGUGACGGUAAUGGGUAAAGAAGCACCGGCUAACUACGUG